CCUACGGGAGGCAGCAGUAGGGAAUAUUGCUCAAUGGGGGAAACCCUGAAGCAGCAACGCAGCGUGGAGGAUGAAGGUUUUCGGAUUGUAAACUCCUUUUGUUAGAGAAGAUAAUGUCGGUAUCUAACGAAUAAGCACCGGCUAACUCCGUGCCAGCAGCCGCCGUAAUACGGAGGGUGCAAGCGUUACUCGGAAUCACUGUGCGUAAAGAGCGCGGAGGGGGGAUAGCAAGUCAGAUGUGAAAUCCUAUGGGUUAACCAUAGUACUGCAUUUGAAACUGUUAUACUAGAGUAUGGGAGAGGUAGGUGGAAUUCUUGGUGUAGGGGUAAAAUCCGUAGAGAGAAAGAGGAAUACUCAUUGCGAAGGCGACCUGCUAGAACAUAACUGACGCUGAUGCGCGAAAGCGUGGGGAGCAAACAGGAUUAGAUACCCCAGUAGUC
rnacentral:rRNA from 1 species